rnacentral:rRNA from 1 species
AUUGAACGCUGGCGGCAUGCCUUACAUAUGCAAGUCGAACGGCAGCACGGGGGCAACCCUGGUGGCGAGUGGCGAACGGGUGAGUAAUGCAUCGGAACGUGCCCAGUAGUGGGGGAUAACCAGUCGAAAGACUGGCUAAUACCGCAUACGACCCAAGGGUGAAAGCGGGGGACCGUAAGGCCUCGCGCUAUUGGAGCGGCCGAAGUCUGAUUAGCUAGUUGGCGGGGGAAGAGCCCACCAAGGCGACGAUCAGUAGCUGGUCUGAGAGGACGAUCAGCCACACUGGGACGGAGACACGGCCCAGUCUUCUACGGGAGGCAGCAGUGGGGAAUUUUGGACGAUGGGCGAAAGCCUGAUCCAGCAAUGCCGCGUGUGUGAAGGAGGCCUUCGGGUUGUAAAGCACUUUUGGCCGGAAAGAAGUGGCUCUGGUUAAUACCUGGAGUCGAUGACGGUACCGGAAGAAUAAGGACCGGCUAACUACGUGCCAGCCGCCGCGGUAAAAC